UACAGAGGGGGCAAGCGUUUGUUCGGAAUUACUGGGCGUAAAGGGCUCGUAGGCGGCCAACUAAGUCAUACGUGAAAUCCCUCGGCUUAACCGGGGAACUGCGUCUGAUACUGGAUGGCUUGAGUUCGGGAGAGGGAUGCGGAAUUCCAGGUGUAGCGGUGAAAUGCGUAGAUAUCUGGAGGAACACCGGUGGCGAAGGCGGCAUCCUGGACCGAUACUGACGCUGAGGAGCGAAAGCCAGGGGAGCAAAGCGGG
rnacentral:rRNA from 1 species